rnacentral:lncRNA from 1 species
UAGAACACACCAGGAAGUAGAACAAACAAGUGAAACCUCCUAAUCUGGGAAAGAGCUCAGUGUGAGAAAUGGAGGGGAUUCUGGGAAGGCAAAAAGAAAGCAAACAGUCCAGUUAAGAUACCACUGCAGAGUCCACAUGAUGGAUCAUAAUGGUUUCUAAUGUACUGGACAACAUGGGUGGUUGACAACAAGAGGAGAAGGAAACAAAGGAAACUGAGAA